UACGAAGGGUGCAAGCGUUAAUCGGAAUUACUGGGCGUAAAGGGCGCGUAGGCGGUUAUUUAAGUCUGCCGUGAAAUCCCCGGGCUCAACCUGGGAAUGGCGGUGGAUACUGGAUAGCUAGAGUGUGUCAGAGGAUGGUGGAAUUCCCGGUGUAGCGGUGAAAUGCGUAGAGAUCGGGAGGAACAUCAGUGGCGAAGGCGGCCAUCUGGGACAACACUGACGCUGAAGCACGAAAGCGUGGGGAGCAAACAGG
rnacentral:rRNA from 1 species